rnacentral:rRNA from 1 species
AUUGAACGCUGGCGGCAGGCUUAACACAUGCAAGUCGAGCGGGGUGAUGGUGCUUGCACUAUCACUUAGCGGCGGACGGGUGAGUAAUGCUUAGGAAUCUGCCUAUUAGUGGGGGACAACAUCUCGAAAGGGAUGCUAAUACCGCAUACGUCCUACGGGAGAAAGCAGGGGAUCACUUGUGACCUUGCGCUAAUAGAUGACCCUAAGUCGGAUUAGCUAGUUGGUGGGGUAAAGGCCUACCAAGGCGACGAUCUGUAGCGGGUCUGAGAGGAUGAUCCGCCACACUGGGACUGAGACACGGCCCAGACGCCUACGGGAGGCAGCAGUGGGGAAUAUUGGACAAUGGGGGGAACCCUGAUCCAGCCAUGCCGCGUGUGUGAAGAAGGCCUUAUGGUUGUAAAGCACUUUAAGCGAGGAGGAGGCUCUUUUGGUUAAUACCCAAGAUGAGUGGACGUUACUCACAGAAUAAGCACCGGCUAACUCUGUGCCAGCCGCCGCGGUAA